AAUAGAUACCCAGGUAGUCCACGCCGUAAACGAUGAGUGCUAGGUGUUGGGGGUCAAACCUCGGUGCCGCAGCUAACGCAUUAAGCACUCCGCCUGGGGAGUACGUACGCAAGUACGAAACUCAAAGGAAUUGACGGGGACCCGCACAAGCAGCGGAGCAUGUGGUUUAAUUCGAAGCAACGCGAAGAACCUUACCAGGGCUUGACAUGCCCCUGACCGUCCUAGAGAUAGGACUUUACCUUCGGGUACAGGGGACACAGGUGGUGCAUGGUUGUCGUCAGCUCGUGUCGUGAGAUGUUGGGUUAAGUCCCGCAACGAGCGCAACCCUUGCCUUUAGUUGCUACCAUUAAGUUGAGCACUCUAGAGGGACUGCCGAUGACAAAUCGGAGGAAGGUGGGGAUGACGUCAAAUCAUCAUGCCCUUUAUGUCCUGGGCUACACACGUGCUACAAUGGUCGGUACAGCGAGCAGCGACUUAGUGAUAAGGAGCAAAUCUCUUAAAGCCGAUCCCAGUUCGGAUUGUAGG
rnacentral:rRNA from 1 species